GAAGCUGUGUUAUUAAGUUAGUUACAGUUUAGAGAGUGAAGCAGUUUGGUUAAAUACCACACCACCUAACCCAACAUAUUGCAGGACAGAAUUAUGAUUCAAUAUGAAAACUAACCUAAAUUACACUACAUAGAAAAAUAUAGUUCAUUAUUGGGAUGGAAAAGAAGAGACUAAAAAAAUCAAAUAUCUUUCAUGAUGGAAACCUUGUAUCAGAAAUGAGUUGUAACUGAAACUUGAUGAAGCCAAUUCCAUCCAAUGAAACUUGUUUGAUUUCAAAUAAGGUCCUCAACACAUUGAUAUCCAGUUAACCAUAUCAUACAAUGAAGUAAAAUAUGGAGUUACAAUACAUAUUCUAAUGUUGUUUGAUAUGAUGUCCAGAAGCAAGUAAU